GUGGGGUUUGAUUUACCCCUGUAAUCUCAGUUAACUGAGAGGCUGAGGCUGGUGCAUUUCCUGAGUUUGGGAGUUCUGGGCUUCAGCAGGCUAUGUGGAUGAGGUGUCCAAACAGUAUUCAGCAUCGUUAUGGUGAAUCCUAUUGAGUGGGGGCCACCAGGUUGCCUAAGGAGGGUCAAAUCUGCCCAAGUUGGAAACAGAGCAAGUCAGUAUUUCCGUGCCAAUAAGUAGUAGGUUCCACCCCAUGAGUUCCACCUAAACUUCUGGUCUGAGAUAGGGAGACUUAGUCUCAG
rnacentral:SRP_RNA from 1 species